CCUACGGGUGGCUGCAGUGGGGAAUAUUGGACAAUGGGCGAAAGCCUGAUCCAGCCAUGCCGCGUGUGUGAAGAAGGCCUUCGGGUUGUAAAGCACUUUCAGUGGGGAAGAAAGCCUUGGGGCUAAUACCCUCGAGGAAGGACAUCACCCACAGAAGAAGCACCGGCUAACUCCGUGCCAGCAGCCGCGGUAAUACGGAGGGUGCGAGCGUUAAUCGGAAUUACUGGGCGUAAAGCGCGCGUAGGCGGUCUGAUAAGCCGGUUGUGAAAGCCCCGGGCUCAACCUGGGAACGGCAUCCGGAACUGUCAGGCUAGAGUGCAGGAGAGGAAGGUAGAAUUCCCGGUGUAGCGGUGAAAUGCGUAGAGAUCGGGAGGAAUACCAGUGGCGAAGGCGGCCUUCUGGACUGACACUGACGCUGAGGUGCGAAAGCGUGGGUAGCAAACAGGAUUAGAUACCCUUGUAGU
rnacentral:rRNA from 1 species